rnacentral:lncRNA from 1 species
GGGUAUAUGACGUCACUGGCUGUACUCUCUCCAUAUCUCUGAAGCUUCUGUUUGCGUCAGUGUCUCUUCCCAGAGGUCACAAGCGGAUCUGAACUCGGGACACAAGUCAGAGUAAACCACUGAGAAAGAGAACCUCUCUGGAAUACAAGUGGGCUGAGCUGUAUGUCACUAGGAGCCUUGGAACUCGCUAACCAUCCCUGGAGAAAGGUACUUGAAGGUAAAGGCAGGGUGGGUGUAUUGAGAUGUCUUUUCUUGUGAUGCUAUCUAGUGAUCUGGAUUCACCUCGGACACAUACUUCUGGGACUGUCUGCAGGGUACAUGUGUGGGUAGGCAACACCAUCCCUGUGAAUCUGGACUGAGUAAACCGGACCAAGCAAGCUGAGCGCCAGCAUUCCUCUCCCCUCCCUCCUCUUGCUUUCCCUCCCCCAUGAUGGUCCUCAGCUUGGCAUACCUUUCCCCACGGGCUGAACUAAGUGUCUUUGUCAGAGUUUCUGUUAACUUGACACAAGCCUACGCUUACAUGGGGAGAGGGACUCCCUGUUGAAGAAUUGCUUCUAUCAGGUGAUGAGUGGGCGUGUCUCUGGGGGGAAUUUUCCUAAUUGCUGAUGGAUAUAGGAGGGCACAGUCCACUGUUGGUGGUGCCAUUCCCUAGGCAGGCAGGUAGGUCUGGGCUGUGUAAGAAAGGCUGCUGAGCAAGCUAGCAACCAGUGUUCCUCCAUGGUCUCUGCUUAAGUUCCUACCUUUCAGUUUCCUCCCUUGAAUUUCUGCCCUGACUCUCCUUAAUGACCUAUUAAAGCAAAUAAGUCCCUUUACCCCCAAGGUUGUUUUUGGACAGUGUUUCAUCACAGUAUGUCUCGCUAUUCAGGACAGUCCCUCUUUUGAUCUAUUAUGACGGCAUGGCCUAUUUUCUCCCUGUUUCAGUCUGAGUGUGUACUGAAAGCCUGGUGGGGUCUAUCCACUGUGCAUAACAUGGACAGAUGUCUCUCCCAUUAAGCAUUGUCUUAGCCUCUUACUGGAAGUCUGGGGGCCUGAAGAAGCUGUUGACUGGAGAUUGGGGACACAGAGGAUUCCUGUGAGGUGGCAGAGGAAUAGCUAUCCCAACAUGGGAUUCUUUGUGGAAAAGAAC